ACGCACGCUGGCGGCGUGCCUAAUCCAUGCAAGUCGAACGCAUUUUCUUUCACCGUAGCUUGCUACACCGAAAGAAAAUGAGUGGCGAACGGGUGAGUAACACGUGGGUAACCUGCCCAUCAGCGGGGGAUAACACUUGGAAACAGGUGCUAAUACCGCAUAAUUCCAUUUACCGCAUGGUAGAUGGAUGAAAGGCGCUUUUGCGUCACUGAUGGAUGGACCCGCGGUGCAUUAGCUAGUUGGUGGGGUAACGGCCUGCCAAGGCUGCGAUGCAUAGCCGACCUGAGAGGGUGAUCGGCCACACUGGGACUGAGACACGGCCCAGACUCCUACGGGAGGCAGCAGUAGGGAAUCUUCGGCAAUGGACACAAGUCUGACCGAGCAACGCCGCGUGAGUGAAGAAGGGUUUCGGAUCGUAAAACUCUGUUGUUAGAGAAGAACAAGGAUGAGAGUGGAAAGUUCAUCCCUUGACGGUAUCUAACCAGAAAGCCACGGCUAACUACGUG
rnacentral:rRNA from 1 species